AUGGCGGAAUUGGGGCUGAAAGAGGAUGAUUUGCAGGAUGUUGUCAUCGAAGAGGAUGAACUGCCAUGGGAGGCAACCCGGUGGAUGGCGCUGGCUAGGGUUCACACAGGUAAACCCUAUAGUCAGUAUUGGUUCUAUAGGAACAUGCGUGUGGCUUGGGACUUGGCCUGGGAGGUGAAGAUCAGGCCGCUUGAGGACAAUCUCUAUACAAUGCAGUUUUCGUGUCUUGGAGACUGGGAA
rnacentral:rRNA from 1 species